rnacentral:rRNA from 1 species
GAUGAACGCUAGCUACAGGCUUAACACAUGCAAGUCGAGGGGCAGCAUGGUCUUAGCUUGCUAAGGCUGAUGGCGACCGGCGCACGGGUGAGUAACACGUAUCCAACCUGCCGUCUACUCUUGGCCAGCCUUCUGAAAGGAAGAUUAAUCCAGGAUGGCAUCAUGAGUUCACAUGUCCGCAUGAUUAAAGGUAUUUUCCGGUAGACGAUGGGGAUGCGUUCCAUUAGAUAGUAGGCGGGGUAACGGCCCACCUAGUCAACGAUGGAUAGGGGUUCUGAGAGGAAGGUCCCCCACAUUGGAACUGAGACACGGUCCAAACUCCUACGGGAGGCAGCAGUGAGGAAUAUUGGUCAAUGGGCGAUGGCCUGAACCAGCCAAGUAGCGUGAAGGAUGACUGCCCUAUGGGUUGUAAACUUCUUUUAUAAAGGAAUAAAGUCGGGUAUGCAUACCCGUUUGCAUGUACUUUAUGAAUAAGGAUCGGCUAACUCCGUGCCAGCAGCCGCGGUAAUACGGAGGAUCCGAGCGUUAUCCGGAUUUAUUGGGUUUAAAGGGAGCGUAGAUGGAUGUUUAAGUCAGUUGUGAAAGUUUGCGGCUCAACCGUAAAAUUGCAGUUGAUACUGGAUGUCUUGAGUGCAGUUGAGGCAGGCGGAAUUCGUGGUGUAGCGGUGAAAUGCUUAGAUAUCACGAAGAACUCCGAUUGCGAAGGCAGCCUGCUAAGCUGCAA